rnacentral:rRNA from 1 species
UACGAAGGGGGCUAGCGUUGUUCGGAAUUACUGGGCGUAAAGCGCACGUAGGCGGCUUCUUAAGUCGGGGGUGAAAUCCUGGAGCUCAACUCCAGAACUGCCUUCGAUACUGGGAAGCUUGAGUUUGGGAGAGGUGAGUGGAACUGCGAGUGUAGAGGUGAAAUUCGUAGAUAUUCGCAAGAACACCAGUGGCGAAGGCGGCUCACUGGCCCGAUACUGACGCUGAGGUGCGAAAGCGUGGGGAGCGAACAGG